rnacentral:lncRNA from 1 species
UUUGGGGAGAAGGUAGACCUCUUGCAUCCCCUGAGGCUGCUCGAAGUACAGUAAUGGGGAACUUGUUUUGGUGCCCAGACGCCUAAGCCCCUACAGAGGACCUUCUAAGCACUGACAGGCCCUGAAACAGCUGGCAGAACGGUUGAUGAAUGAAGGAAGUGACUUUGCGUUGUGCAGUGCAUGCUGCAUGCAACCCGGAUAGGUCCAGUUUUGAAUUCAGGACCUCCGUGUCUUCAAAGAAUCGAAUAUGUGAUCUAUUUCUUUCUUCCUUGGAGACCUGGCUAGGAAGUAACUUCAUGUAACGUUUUUUGAUGGCGCCUUGUCUGAGGACUCCAGCUGCUUUGAUGAUAGCCUAAGAAGGCUGCACGCUGUUCCCUGUCAGCGCCAAGCCAGGCCCAUUCAGA